GCCUGUAGCUCAGUUGGAUAGAGCGAGGGGUUCCUAACCCCUAGGUCGGGGGUUCGAGUCCUCCCAGGC
rnacentral:tRNA from 1 species